AUGCAUAUUAUGCAUUUGAUAUUUUCCGCACUAGCCUAUGGCAUUGAAAAUUACAAGUGCUGUGUGAUGCUUACCCCUCCUUUAUUGCUAUUUUCGCCUACCUUAUGACAUCCUCUUCCCGAUUUCCUUCUCUUUUUGGCGGUUGGCAAUUGCGAUUUAAGGCCACGUAUUUUCUUGUCUUAAAUUUUCAUUCAAAACGUUAUGAUGGUAAAAAUAAAAGAAGGAUGUGUCCUUUAAUGCCAUUGCAAUGUCAAACUCUAACUGGAAUCGUAGGAUUGACAAUAAUUGUCAUAAAUAAACAAUAAGGAUCCUACAUAAGAUUGUCGUUGCUUUUUCAACGGGUAACUGAUUGGAUGAUAGAAUGACAAGGGACAUUGCUUAAUGCUUAUACGGGUAAAUACAAAUCUAAAUAUUGAAAUCUAAUUGUAAAUUGAACUCGGCGAUUAAUAUUUGCGCUCUCGUUUCGUAUAACUCUUAGCCAAUGCAUAAACCCAUUAGUGUCGACAUCGGCCGCAAGGUGAUAUGGAGGAUUCUUGCAUGUCAUUAACGGUGUUGAUGCGUGAUGCCACACCCUAAAUCGAAAACCCACGAUAGCGAUGGAAAUGCUGCAUGAGAGGAUCUUCGCUACACCACACAGUGCAAUAGAGGCGGGGAAAGAAACUGGAAAUUCGAAAAUGUUCAACUUCAAGAUGCCUUUGGGCUAAAGCGAUGAAUCAGGGUGACGGUAGGUAUUAUAAAAAUGAACGUGUGAAGUGGAAGUAAACCAGUUACGUUGGUGCCUUCAAACUGACUCCAUCGUCGGCAACAUAUUGCAUCGGCAACAUAUUGCAUAUUCGGCUGUCAAUCAUGCGGGACUACGAUGUCAUGCUGCUGUUUGCUUUUGCCAUUUUGAUGGCUACAUCGGCGGGUACCGAUGGGUUUGUCCUCAUCUGGACACUAGACUAUACAACCCCUACGCCCUACUACACCACCUCGUAUGCUGCUCCCUCUUACAGCACCAAGGCUCUCGAAUAUUAUACCACAUAUGCAGCUGCCAGCUACUACACCGAGUCUUCCAACUACUUAAUACACGACCAGAACGCCCAAAUACUACACGACCAUAUACUCCGCUCCAACAUACUACACUCAAGCCAUUAAAUACUAUGCUGCUCAAAGGGGGAAAAUAUAACUUUUUGUUCGAAACUGUGGCUAUUGAAAUAAUGCAGGGAAACUUAUGAAGACAAAACCAAAAUCAUGUCUUGAGUUAUUUGAGGUAAAAAUUUGGUUGUGGGACAGCAUGCCAUUCCUGAAUGAUUAUUUCUACAGAUUCACUUGAACUUAACACCAGAGAAGGACCUGCCUUUGAUCAGAAACAGAACUGGUGAUAUCCAAAGCAAAAUAAACUGUGAACUUUUACUAUUAAAAAUGGAGAAGUUGUGCAAUGUAGGACCACACUCAAGACACAAUUAAAAAGGAGUGCCGGAAAUUGCCCGAUUGUGUUAUCAACGUAGUUUGGUGCCUAAAUUCACGGUAUAUAAGAGUUGAGUGCAUUUCUAUGUGUAGCGGCACUUGAAAUGACUGGGUGACGGGCUCUCCCACUGUUGGGACUGCUAUAGUAACCAAGAGUCUGUAAGCAAUUACAACUCGAAAGGUGAAGCGUUGGAAUG